rnacentral:rRNA from 1 species
UACGUAGGGGGCAAGCGUUGUCCGGAAUCAUUGGGCGUAAAGAGUUCGUAGGCGGCUUGGUAAGUCGGAUGUGAAACCUCCAGGCUCAACCUGGAGUCGCCAUCCGAUACUGCCAUGGCUAGAGUCCGGUAGGGGCCCACGGAAUUCCUGGUGUAGCGGUGAAAUGCGCAGAUAUCAGGAGGAACACCGAUGGCGAAGGCAGUGGGCUGGGCCGGCACUGACGCUGAGGAGCGAAAGCGUGGGGAGCGAACAGG